GUGUUGGGAGGCUGUUGAAAGUUCCCUUCCGGGGGUUCUUGAGCCAUCGGUGAGAGACCACUCUGGAGGAGCUAGAAUUCUAAUGGCGAUCCUUGAAUCAGGACGCUUGACAGUUUCAGGCGGGCAGUUUGACUGGGGCGGUCGCCUCCUAAAAGGUAACGGAGGCGUGCAAAGGUUCCCUCAGGCUGGACGGAAAUCACCCGUAAAGUGUAAAGGCAAAAGGGAGCUUGACUGCAAAACCUACAAGUCGAGCAGGGGCAAAAGCCGGCCUUAGUGAUCCAACGGUACCGUGUGGAAGGGCCGUCCCUCAACGGAUAAAAGUUACUCUAGGGAAACAGGCUAAA
rnacentral:rRNA from 1 species